rnacentral:rRNA from 1 species
CCUGCCUGUACCAUAACCGACACAGGUGGGUAGGUAGAGUAUACUAAGGGGCGCGGGAUAACUCUCUCUAAGGAACUCGGCAAAAUGACUCCGUAACUUCGGGAGAAGGAGUGCCUUAUUUAUAAGGUUGCAAUAACAAGAUCCAAGCAACUGUUUAUCAAAAACACAGGUCUCCGCUAAGUCGUAAGACGAUGUAUGGGGGCUGACGCCUGCCCAGUGCCAGAAGGUUAAAGAAGUUGGUUAGUGUAUGCGAAGCUGAUGACUGAAGCCCUGGUGAACGGCGGCCGUAACAAUAACGGUCCUAAGGUAGCGAAAUUCCUUGUCGGGUAAGUUCCGACCCGCACGAAAGGCGUAAUGAUUUGGAUACUGUCUCGGAGAGAGGCUCGGUGAAAUAGACUUGUCUGUGAAGAUGCGGACUACCUGCACCAGGACAGAAAGACCCUAUGAAGCUUUACUGUAACUUGAAAUUGGAAUUGGACUUUGCUUGCGCAGUAUAGGUGGGAAGCGUUGAAGAUAUUCUUGCGGGAGUAUUGGAGCUAUCAGUGAGAUACCACUCUUGUAAUGUUAGAUUUCUAACUUUGAACCAUAAUCUGGUCAAAGAACAGUUUCAGGUGGGCAGUUUGACUGGGGCGGUCGCCUCCCAAAUGGUAACGGAGGCGUACAAAGGUUUCCUCUGAACGGAUAGAAAUCGUAUCUAGAGUGUAAAGGCAUAAGGAAGCUUGACUGUGAGACCUACAAGUCGAGCAGGGACGAAAGUCGGUCUUAGUGAUCUGACGGUACUGAGUGGAAAGGCCGUCACUCAACGGAUAAAAGUUACUCUAGGAUAACAGGCUGAUCUCCCCCAAGAGUUCACAUCGACGGGGAGGUUUGGCACCUCGAUGUCGGCUCAUCGCAUCCUGGGGCGGUAGUACGUCCCAAGGGUUGGGCUGUUCGCCCAUGAAAGCGGUACGCGAGCUGGGUUCAGAACGUCGUGAGACAGUUCGGUCCAUAUCCGGUGUAGGCGUUAGAAUAUUGAGAGGAGCCUUCUUUAGUACGAGAGGACCGAGAAGGACACACCGCUGGUGUACCAGUUAUCGUGCCAACGGUAAACGCUGGGUAGCUAUGUGUGGAGUGGAUAACCGCUGAAAGCAUCUAAGUGGGAAGCCCACCUCAAGAUGAGUAUUCUCAUGGAGUUAAUCCAGUAAGGUCACGGGAAGACGACCCGUUAAUAGGUUCUAAGUGGAAGUGUGGCAACAUACGUAGCUGAGGAAUACUAACAGACC